UUGCUUUGAUGAAGCAGGUUCCUAGAACUUACAUGGAAAAUCAUUUUAGUUGUAUCCAUUUAUUUCUUGGAAGCCAAAAAUUCAUAGUUUAAUGGAGUCAAGCAAUCGCUAACUUCUGCUCGUUUUGAAAAUUUUGAUUAUGUUAUGGCUGUUGUAAAUUGGCAUUUUUAUUGAAAAGGGUUUCCAAUAUUUUCUCCAUCCUCUUCAGAGGAAAUUGUUAAACAUCUACAGCUCUAGUUGCCAUUCAUUUUACAUGAAGCUUGAACAUGUUGACAGAGAAAUUUCUGAGAGGGGAUUCUUUUAUUUUUGAUUGCGUAUUCACAAUCUUCCUGCCGGUUUCCCAAGUUGUUUCUGAGAAAAAAAGCAACUUGAAGAUACAGAAAUUGAAUUUCAAAGACAAUCUUCAUUUCUCUAUCUACGCAUCCAUCACACCAUUCCCAUUGGUUACCACCCAAGAAAAAAGAAUCCAAAUAGGCACACUUGAAGUUGCCCACAGUUUCCACUUUCUUAUCUGUCCCCUGUUUCUUCAUACUUCUAAUUCAACUUGCUAUCCUCCACCAAACUUUCCAUGGAGUCGGUUGAAAGUAGGUCCCCUUCAAACGACCACCAUGCAAAGUGGAAGGCCAUCAACAUAGACAUGAAGUAAACACUGAUGAUUAAACCACAAAUCUCAAACUUUUCAAUCUCUCUUUGUUAACCUUUCCCAUCUGAUGGAAUGGGACUGGCUUAGCCCACAUUCAAUUUAUCAGCUCCUCAGUAUUUUAAAUUAGCCCUAUUUUUGAACAGAAAUCAAAUAAUAUCGUCAUAAAAAAUAAUAAUAACUGCUGCUUUUUUUUUUUUAUUAAGAAAUUUCAUUUAUUUAUCAUCUACCAGAGAGAAAUGUCUUAUCAACUGUGCUCAAAUCAAAGCUGAUUUUCAUGUAAAUUGCAUUUCCACAUGAAAAAAAUUAGUAUAUUGCUACCCAAUAGAAGCUCUUCCUAUGGAGGAAGGCCUUUCACUGUAGAAGUUGCCCACCUGCAGGAGAUAACAAACAAGCCCUAUCAAACUGACAUGACAGCACCAUCUGCCUGUCUAAUUAAAGGCCAAUGGAGCCAUACAUCCAAACCCACCACACAAAUGACAAGUCACUUUGCACCUUAUAUAAAGGCCAAAGAUAAGGCAGCCUCUGCAUGCCCCAUACCACCAGUCACUAAAAAGACCA